rnacentral:sRNA from 1 species
UGAAACAUUCAUUAGUUUUAUGGCCAAGC